UACGUAGGGUGCGAGCGUUAAUCGGAAUUACUGGGCGUAAAGGGUGCGCAGGCGGUCUUGCAAGUCGGAUGUGAAAGCCCCGGGCUUAACCUGGGAAUUGCGUUUGAAACUGCAGGGCUAGAGUGCAGCAGAGGGGAGUGGAAUUCCACGUGUAGCAGUGAAAUGCGUAGAGAUGUGGAAGAACACCGAUGGCGAAGGCAGCUCCCUGGGUUGACACUGACGCUCAUGCACGAAAGCGUGGGGAGCAAACAGGAUUA
rnacentral:rRNA from 1 species